rnacentral:rRNA from 1 species
GUAGGAUAAGCUAAGCACACUGUUGGUUAUGUGUGCCCAAGCAUUGAGGCAGUCAAAGUAGGCAAAUCCGCUUUGAUAAUGCUGGGAUGUGAUGGGGAGCGAAAUUUAGUAGCGAAGUAGCUGAUUUCACACUGUCAAGAAAAGUCUCUAUCGAGGUUAAAGGUACCCGUACCGCAAACCGACACAGGGGGGUGAGGAGAGUAUCCUAAGGCCAGCGAGAGAACUGUUGGUAAGGAAAGCGGCAAAAUGACCCCGUAACUUAGGGCUAAGGGGUGCCCCCAUCCGGUGGCCGCAGAGAAUAGGCCCAAGCGACUGUUUACCAAAAACAUAGGUUUCUGCUAAGUCGCAAGACGAUGUAUAGGAGCUGACGCCUGCCCGGUGCUGG